UACGGGGGGAGCAAGCGUUGUUCGGAUUUACUGGGCGGAAAGGGCGCGUAGGCGGUCAGUGCAAGUCAGUUGUGAAAUCUCCGGGCUUAACUCGGAACGGUCAACUGAUACUGCUCGACUAGAGUGCGGAAGGGGCAACUGGAAUUCUUGGUGUAGCGGUGAAAUGCGUAGAUAUCAAGAGGAACACCUGCGGCGAAGGCGGGUUGCUGGGCCGACACUGACGCUGAGGCGCGAAAGCUAGGGGAGCAAACGGG
rnacentral:rRNA from 1 species